GCCUGCCCUUUGCUGUGCUUUCCUUAAAUCACACAGAUUUCCAGGAAGCUCGUUGGAACCUCUGGAGAAGGGCAGGAAGUAUAAACAGUACACAGCGGAGCUGUGGAGGCGGCAGCUGGGACCCCAGCACCUAGAUUCUCUCUCCCAAAGCCUUUUUGCCUUUGUGACCUAGACCAAGGCCUGGUUUCUCUGGGUGUCAGUUUUCUCAUCUAUAAAAAUGAAAAUCCUACGGGGGCAGCAGUGGUGCAUGCCUUUAAUCCCAGUGUAUGGGAGAUCUUUGUGAGUUCGAAGCCAUCCUGGUGUGCAGAAGCUCUCCUCAUGGCUGAAGCUACUCAUGGAUGGUGGUCACUGGUGAGCUCGGGAAGGGUCCUGUCCUAGGCAACAGGAAACAUCUAUUUAAGAAUAAUCCAACCUCAUCCGUGGCUACAAAGGAGUUUGAGGCCAGCUGGGCAACAUGAAACCCUGUCUUAGAAAACAGAACAGUCGUGGCUGGAGCGAUGCGAUGCCUCAGCAGCUAAGUGUAUUGGAAUCAGGCACCUCCACCGCCCACUCCAGGGACCCAGCGACAGUAAGAUGAGUCCUCACUACCUGCCAAGAUGUGACACAUUCCUACUGUCCCCGUCACAACAUUGGUGCUGAGUGACUCUGAAGGCUCUGCUGGUGCUGGAGCUCCUUCCUCUCUGUGGGCUGAAACCACACACCAGGGCCCUAUUCCCAGUCCACCUGCAACAGGCGCUCCAUGCGAACCUGG